CAUUCUCACUUCACUAAAAAUACUAACUCAUUCUCACUUAUCUCUUUUCCACCCUAAACUAAAAACCCUUCUUCUUCCAACCCCUUCCACCUAGAUUUCACCUUGUCGCCGCACAGACCUCUCUGGCCACCGCUUCAACGUCUCAUUCACGGGUUCUCUCGUUCUUUUUCUUUUGUUCUAUUGUUCGUUCUCUCUCUCGUUCGCUCUUUGUUCUCUUUCGUCCGUUCUAUGUUUGGUCUCGUUCUCUCGUUUUCUCUCUCUAAUUUGUUUUAUUUUCAUGAUUAUUUGUUGAAUAAAUGAAGGAAUAAAUGGUUUAUAAUUGAUUUGCAAACCCUAACUCGAUCUGUCACUGGUUUUUUCACAGCUCAUUGAAAUCACUAACAUAUCAAAUUCAUUAUUUCACAGGUAAGAACUUGAAAAUCCCUAACUCUUCUAGUUUAAUCCUUUUUGUGUAACUGAAACAAAUAAAAAAUGAAUGGCUGUGGUUUUGUUUUUUUCAAUAUCAAAGCUGAAUAUUUUUGACAAUUUAGUGGUGAAUUAGAUGUUUGAAUUAAUAGUUUGGUUUGCUAGAAUUUGUGGUUGAAUUAAUAGUUUUCACUAUGAAAUGGAAUUAGUGACUAUAAAUUGAAAUUUGAGGUGAAUUGAAAUGAAUAACUAUGUAUCCCAUUUUUCAAUUUUGUGUUUGACAAAUUAGUGGUGAAUUGAAGUGAAUUAGUGUUUGGUUUGCAAGUCAGCUGUGAGAUUUCGAUUAUGUUUUAACUUAUAGAAUUUCAAUUAUUUUUUAAUGAGUUCGACUGUUAUGUGUUUGGAUCUUCCUGCUAUUAUUAAGUUGUUAAGUUGGUAAUUUGUAAAAAGAAAAAAACUUGUCAAGUAGGUAAAUUAAAUAAAGCUAUUGUCCUUAAGAAGAGCCAAUAUAUUUUAAUAUUGAAUUGUGAACAGGUUAUGUAUUUGUCACGAUAGCUUGAAAAUUUCGUGAUCAUAAUAUUUUUUAAUUUAUACAUUCAUAAGUCUUAUUUAAACAAAGAGUGAAGUUUAUAGAAGUUACCAUUACAUUCCUUCAUAUUGAAUUUUGAAGCAGUCACUUAUAUUUGUCCAUGUCCUUGGUUGUAUGGUGGUAAGCUAGAUAGAUAUAUUUUAGCAUCCAUGUAGCCUACCAACUUGGGUGACUUUUGGGUGAUUGGCAAUUGAAUUUGGUUUAUGCAUUUGAAUAAAUGGACCAGACAAUUUAUUUGUUGAAGAUGCUGAUUUUCUGCAUCCAAUUCCAAUGGCUUGUGUUCUUUUGAUUGAGUUGGUAUGUGACUUGUUAUCUAUCAUUAUAUGUUUAAAUGUUUAUGAUUGUUAUCUUGAUCCUGUGUUGACACAUAUUUGAAGGAUUAAUUUUGAUAAUGUAACUAAGUAUUUGAUUUUGCAACAAGGCCUGAUCUAAUUUGCAUUUCCAUGGAAACAAUAAUGUGCAUUCUUUUUUCCUUUCUUUGAUGAUUUCUCACAAUGUUGUUACCUAUUUUUCCAGAUAAAUAAUAUGAACUAUGGUUGCUGGAAAUUACUGAUUUGAUCUCUUGUCUAAAAUUAGAAUUUUGAUGUCUAGUAAAAAUAUGCAAUUGAAGUUAAUUUGGCUAUUGAGGUCAAUGUUUGGUAAUCAUCAAGAUGAGCUUUUUUUUUUCUUUCUUUUUUAGUUUAUUUACACAUUGUUUAUUAAUUUUUAAGGAUGUAAUGUGUUUAUAAAUUGUUAUUUUUUUUUAGGUUGUUUGUAGUUCAUUAUUAGUUAGAAUUUAAUUUUUGUGUGGAUGGGCAUGUUGGAGAAGACUGCAUUUCACUUCCAAGCUUUUGUUUAGAAUAUAAGCAAAAAACUAGUGUCAUAAGAAGGUUGUAGAGUUCUUUUAAUCGGUGCUCCUAAGCAAAAAUGGACUGCAGAAGAAGAGGCAACUCUAAAAGCUGGAGUAGUCAAAUACGAGGCUGGAAAAUGGCGCACCAUACUUACGGAUCCAUAGUUCAACACUAUUUUGCGCAUGCGUUUAAUGUAGAUCUCAAGUUUGCGGUUGACAACAUUGUUUGAGAUCGAUGUUGAUACUACUGCGUGUGUUGAAUGAUCAACUGUUUAGUUUCUAAAGGAUUAAGAAAUAAAUGCAGAGUUCCUUGCUUUGAAUUUUGAAAAACUUGCAACAUUCAUUAUAUAUUGAGGUCCGAAGAGAUGGGACCAAGAUGACCCUUGCUCAGAGCAGGAAAUUGUCUCAACUUACAACUGAUAAUGCCCAAUGGGAGGAUUGACAACUGCUGCUAUAGGUGUUGUUAGAGGAACAGUGGUACAGAUUGAAGUUGAUGAUGAGGAUGAAUGCAAGGUCAUUCUUCUUGUGCAUGGAUUUGUCAAAGCUUUAGAGAACUUGCAGGCUCAAAACUUGGUGAUAUUUUAGGCGUCGAAAAAUCAGCAGAAUAGGUAUCACUUAUUCUCUUGUAAUCACAUGAGUACGCACUUAUUCUCUUGUAGACAUAAAUGUAAAGGUUUUACUACACUUGAUUUGGUUAUCCAUGGAACAAGUGUCAAGCAUUGAACUCGUUUGCUUAUAUAAUAAUAUCUUAUGUUUUUAUAUA